UAUCUUCCCAUCUCUGCCCCUGCAUAGGGAGGGAGUUCUCCAGCCUCUGGAGAGGGGUAACCUGCAAGGAUCCUAGCCGGGGCUGGAUGGAUUCACUGUCUCCAAGGAAACGCUGUCACCUCGCAACGCAGUCACGUUAGGAGCUAUUGUUACCAAUCUCUUAAGUACAUCAAACAAAUUCCUGGGCUGAUGGAGCUGGUAUCAAUGAACUGUCUUUCCAGAAGGUGCCUAAAGAUAGGUUGGUGAUACCUGUAGCAAGAUACGUGAUCAUCCGGAAGAGUCUCUGGUCUGCUCACUCCGGCGGCUUCACUUUCCUGAAUCACUUUCACAGUUUUGCCCACUUGAAGUUAAUAUUCUCUUUGCCUAAAAGACUUCCUGCUUCAUUAAUGGCUUGUUAAAUGCCUUAUUAAUUUAUCAAAGAACUUUGGAUGAAAAGAAACUACUUGAAGAGCCUCGUGUUUUAUGUAACGUUCAUGAAAGUUCUUCAUGGGCACCUCUUCAAUCUGUUGAGGGUUCUUGCCUUGUUUGAACCUGCUCAGCCAUUUAGAAACAACCUUCCAGGCUUCUUUCUUCGAGUUUGCAGCUGAGAACGAAAACAAGAGACUCUUCUCUUGGUGGGAACCAACAGAAACACUGGGAUUAGAAACCCAUUUCAUAUUUUCAGCCCUCAUCCAGUGCCAGCUGGAAGCCAAAGAACCCGGUGAACGGUGAACAGAGGUCCCAGUGAGCAGCUGGAGUCUCCCUCCUGUCUGGACCCCUGUGACUGCGGCAGCUUGAUCCAAACCCCUUGGAGACCACAGACAGUUUUACAAACUAAAUUAAUCUACAGUUUCUCAUCAGGUGUGCCAGUAGAUGCAGAUCAGCUCACAAGGGAAGUCAACUCAGUUCUUGCUGGUGUUAUCUGAGUUACCAAGGUACUGUUUUCCUCCUCCCUGGCACUGGGGUUUGGGGGUAACUCAUCCAUCUCUUUCUAAUUCAUGUGUUUCCAUUUUCCACUGCAGGGACAAAAGCAAAGAUUGCCCAAUUCAAGGGACAGAAACAACCCAAGAACGAGCUUGUAAACACUUUUGGAGAAGGCCUUGUUGCCACUUUAAGAAAACCCUUGUAGGAACAUUAUUUGCCUCUGGCUCAGGGAGAGAGAACACCUGCCAGGGAAUCUGCUCCUGCAGAAAUUCCAGUGACACGGUGUGAGGCAGCAAGGGAGGGGGGGAAUUUAAGAGCCACAACAAAAGAGAACAACAGAAUAAUAGGAGCAGUAUAUCACUGACUUCAACCGCAGUUAUUUCUCUCUUGUAGAAAAGAAAUCAUAUGUCCUGUUGCAGCACUGACUCCAAAGUAACCCCAGCACGGCUCUGGGGCUGUUCAUGGAGACAGGCUGGGAGAACAACCUAUUUCUGUUAUCCCCCCACACCCCCAGCACACAAUGCAUCCUGCAGGCCAAAAAUUGGAUAAGAAUUCUCCUGGGAACGAUGAACUUCAUCCAGCAAUCCAUCAUCAAAGAUUCAGAGCAAAGUUUGCAACACCAAGUAUUGGGGUUUGUUCCCCCCGUCCCCAAAUAUUAACCCCAGAACCUGGGUCUAUCUAUGACCCAAACUCAUUGAUUGUACAACAUCUACAUCCACUUAAGUCCCACUCAGGAUGCUCAGCUUUCCAGCACUCCCACAGGAUUACUGUCAAUAGGAAAGUCCUUCUUAGCUCCUUAGGAUAGAGUGACAUCUUGUGGUUUCUUCUUUUGUCCACCAUUGACAAAUAAAAAUUAGCCAAAAAA